CGCCACACGAAGAACAGUCUAAACCGUUCUGUAAACUGCACCUAAACAUCAUGUUUUCUUGAACUGGCUUCACUUCUUAAGUUCUAUUUGAUUUGGCCACUGCGCUGUUACACGUUGGUGUUUUUCUGCUUUUUUUUCUGCCUCAUUCCUGCCUGGCUCCUGACUUCCAGGACGUUGGUGGUGAUCGUAGCUCAGGCCGACCCUCUCUGCAACAGAUACAAGUCAUUCCGCAGCGAUGUCAUGUCAGCUUCAUGCAGCGCUGCGGUCAUUUCUGUCUUUUGGCCUCACCACAAAUCACAGUGCAGGAUCCCACUUUUAUAAUUGUGUUUUCAUUAAAAUUACAGCAUCCGUGCUGCUUCAAGCGUUGGAUCGCGGCUCGUAACUAGCUCCAGGGAACGGUGGGGAACCACAAGUGCUGUGGAAAUGUUAUAUGCAAACAUAUCAAUUUGGGGACUGGGAUAUAAAUAUUUGGAUAUGCUCCGUCCUUUUAUUCAUCACAUUUUUUCUGUGCGGGGUCUAUCUAUCUUUUUCCAUUUUGGUCUUCAGUCACACAUCUACCAGCUGCAGAGGAUGUUUGAGUUUCGGCCCGUGGUUGGUGGGUGGGUGGGUAGGUUGUGUUAUUUGGAGUUCAGGACCACACUGUGGCACCAUAUUUUCCACGAGUAAAAAAAAACCCUUCAAAACAUUUCAAUAUCCCAAAGCAACAGUUAGGUUCAGAUUAGAGUUGUAAUCAGAGCUAAAGGUAAGAGGUUAAAGAAUUUAUGACAAUGUGAAGUGCCAACUCAUCACAUAAAUCACUGUGUGCGUGUGUGAGUGUGUGUGUAUGCAGCUGUGAGACUGUAUAUCACAGCAGAUCAAAGCGUCAGUCACCCAGUCAAAGGAAACCCUGCUGAUGACUUUGAUAACGUGCUAUCGGCUUAUUUGCUGCCUGCUCCAAAUAACAGGAAGUGAAGACAGAAGCGACUUCUCCCAUCAUUGUGCCAGACUUGUUUCCCCUCCUCCCUCCUCACACAGGGGGACAACCCAGCGCCGAGAUCAAAGACCUGGAUGUCGUUAAGGAGCCGGUAUAAAAGCGGGAGUCCCCCCGCCGGAUCUUCCUCUGCGUGUUACUUCCGGGUCAGAGGUCGAGUGCCCGACAGGACGACUGUUUGUGUGCUGCUCCGUGCCCCCUGUGUGUGCUGCUGCUGUGGUCGAUGGUCGGUGGUAAGUGUUGUUUCUCUCGGCGUUGUGCUUGCUGCUGCUCGGUGCCUAAUGCUGGUCUGGUCACAGGUGAAUGCUGGCGGCUGGAGUCCAAUCCUUCCUCCUCGUGAGUGUGUGUUCUGAGAAGGAACAAAUGCCGUCUUUAAGAUAUGGAUUCACUCAGACAGGACGCCGCUAAAGGCCUCGGUGAUACAUGCGCAGUAACCACAGAUUCCAUGACGUCAUUUUGAGGACAACACACGUAUAAUGUACCUGACCAAACCACCUGGGUCCAGACUGUCACGUCGAUCUUUAAACCACGGGAGAAAAUCCACAGCUUCUCAUCAACAUCUCUACUGUGAGUCGGCCUCCUGUUACGUAACCUCCUGUUCAGAUGCUCUGCCGCUGAUGAGACACUCCAACCCCCCACCUCAGAGUCAAGUUCAUGAACUGGAACUUCCUGAUGUCUCCACCUGAGUCCAUCUGGUCUGAAGAUGUGUUGAAUUUUACUACUGGUGAAGCGUGACUUCAUUAUUCACUCACAUUACAGUGGUCGCUGUUGUUUGACUGAACAGAUGCUGUUGUUUCUAAUGGAGUUGUUAGUUUAAACCUCAUCCAGAGUUCGUGCUUGAUCCUAGAUGAAGAAAGGAACGCUCGGUGGUUCGGCAGCGCAGCAGUGGAGACCAUUACACUUUUGGAAACACGUAACACAUUUCGUCUGAUCCUGGUCCUGGUCCUGCACUCACUCCAUACAGGAUGUCGGAUUUCUUUUUGUCAUCGAGCUCCAUCUGGCAGACGGACUCCUGUGAAAAAAACAGCUGCAGACACCAGUGGAAGAUGCAACAGGACAUCACUGCUAACGGUGAGAGACGAAAACCAAGUGGCUCCGUCCUGGUGCCCCGGGCUGGAAGCAGGACAGACGGUGACACCGUGCUUCAGGGGGCGUGGCCUGCGGGCUGGACCAUGUGUCCCGGCGGAUGCUGUGUGAGAGCCAGCUCACGCUCUGGAUGUGUCGCCAACCUAUUUCAGGUCCAAACUCACACACACACAAAUUCACACCUAUGCACUCACUUCACGGCCUCAGACCGACCAAACCUCAGGCUGCAGGGCCGAGCUGAGAAACAAGACUUCACACACACCUCUCCUCAGCACUUUGGACCGAUGCUAACUGCAGACUUCCACGUCGGUGCCGUAGCUGUUGCUCGAUGAAAAGCUCCAAUCAAAUCAUCUGCAAAUAUUUGUGUGAUUAUUAGCAGAAACUGAAGUGAGCAUGAAAUGAUGGCAGAGCCCUGAAUGACUCCACUCACAGACACACUCGCUUCAUUCACUCCCCGAACGACACUCUGCAAAUGUUUGGCUCUGGAAUGACCCUCUGCCCCCCCCCCGACCCCCCCCACCCCUCAGCGGCCGGUCCCACAGCUGGACCCUGCAGGAUCAGUCGGACAGAGAAACGACACCACAGGAAGGACCAGGUUUGUUGGGUGCUCAUGGUACUGGACUAGAUAUGUGGUCAGACAAGAGAAGAAAAGGGCCGGUUGUGAUGAGGCAGCAGUGUGACCCACUCAGCCACUGCGUGACUGGUUGUUGUCAGUCAGACUCCCAGACAGAGGGCGCUGAAGAGAGAAGCACAGACGAGGUCGACCGACAACUGCAGAAAGUUGUGUAAAAACUGCGUCCAUUCCGUGAUCAUCAGCUACAAAGAGUUAGUGGUUACUCUACCAGGUGCAGCCGGUCAGUCCUCCUCCUCCUCCUCCUCCUCCUCCUCCUCCUCUUCAUCGUUGAACAGCCUGUCAGGAGCCAAAGUCCCAAAAACCACAGCCUCAUUAGUCGUUACAUAACAGAAACCAUUUUCUCCUCUGCUCCUCUGCUGAUGGAUGUGCCCGGAACACCACGUCCUCAGGAUGGAGCACCCGGUGGUGAAGAGACUCCACUGCAACCUGGUGGAACUGACUUUUGACACACACCCACACGGUCACACCGAGUCCCAGGAGGUUACAGUUUCUUUAAAGACAGGAAAUAAUUAUCCAGCAGUCAGUUAGGAACCUGCCGCUGAGGUGUGUCCUCUUUCAGUGCAGGGAGAAGGAGCUGCAGAUCAAAUCUGAGUCUGCUGCAUAAAAUAUAAAAAAAAAGAGGAUGCAGAGAGUUCACUCGGUUUUUAACAUCUGCAAAUGUAGCUCCAAAGUUCGUUGGUUGAAACCAGGCACGGUCCAGAGAACGUUCUCCAAAGACCAGACCAUCCAGCGCGAUUCUGUCUGUUUUCUACAGAUUUUAAAAACAUUUUCUUCAGCUGUUUUAAUAAAGACACCGCCAGCGGAGAAAUGUAGAGAAAGUCAGCGUCUCACAAUGGACACUUGUGGCGACUCCAAGAUCAUCAGACUGCACUGACGUCUGUUCUUCACCACUAAAGAAGUCGUCACUUUCUUUCUCUUAAAGCUCUCAUUGUUAAUUCAUGGAGACGAAUGUGAUUCAAUAACAGCAGGAGUUAUGACAGAUUCAACUUCAACCACACGAGGCAGUAAAAACCCCACCAGGUUCAAUCCGUCGCUAACACCUGAACCUGAGGAGCCAAAUGAUGCAAGAUGACCAGCGGAGGCCGGAGACAGGCGAGUCUGGAGCGACGGGAUGACAUCAUCACACCUGCAGCGUGUGCAACUGUGGCGCGUUGACUUCAUCCCCGAGUGCUGGGAACCGAACAGCUGACCUCCUGUACGGUGCCGCUCUUGCAUGUCUCCUGUUGGCCUGCAGGUCAGUCAGCGCGCUGGGAUCCUGGAGCAGCUGACACAUCGAUGCGUCUGUGAGGCAAUAGCACAUACACACCGGUUUCAAACAGUCGCAUGUUGCUGCUGGAGACGACCGGUGAGAACAGUGAGGCCUGCGGUGGAACUGAACCAGCGCUCCUUGACUUUGGAUGGAGCCCAAACGGUGCCAAACUGAACUGUGGCUUCUUUGCUUCUGCUUCUGCUGAAAUGUGUGAACUUUCCAAGCGGCCGUGGGACGAGUGCCGGACGAUCUGAGGCUGUAUUUCUGCUCCAGUUCCAUCAGAACCUUGGUGACCGUAGCAAACCAGCUGGUUAACGCAACCAACUGAACAGAAAGUGAGCGGAGCUUCUUAUGCCGUUGCGGAAACGAUAAACAUUUCCUGCGUAUAAAAGGUCACUUAAAGUGAGUAAAUCUGUUUACGUGUAUCAGUUAAAGCCGUCUGAUGCUGACGGGACCGUCGGUGCGUGUCGAGCUCUAACCCACACGGUCGCCCUCCCUGUAGGUAAGAGGUAAAUUUAAUUUGUACUUCUGCAGAUUUAUUCCAUCACUCAAUCCGUGGAAGUGACAUUUGGAAAACCUCUCUGGUGUUGGCCCCUGCCCGUCAGCUUUAGCGAUCAUAAAGUAGUUCCAUAGUUCCAAAAUGGCUUUUCUCGGAAGUGUAUAAUUUGCCUUUUGAACCUGGCAAGUGGCAACUGCAAAGAAUCAAAGUGGGUUUUUCUUAACUUGCAGUAACCGGUAACGACCUCCAAAAUAAACUGAACGCAGCUUCAAUCUGGAAACCUACUGUUCGCAGCAGCUGGAGCCAGAAUUGAUCUUUGUUUCCAAAGCUAGCUUAAGGUCUUCUUCAGCAAAUAACUUCAAUAAUUCUUCAACAAAAAAACAAGUCAUAGACAUCAACAAUUUUAUCUUAAAGCUCGCUUUUCUUAAUAAAUAUGAAAUUUGUUUCAAGUGGACCAUCAGACUGGUGAUUAGAGGAGCUAAAUCUGGCCAAUGACAGUAAAAUCGCUUGUGGAAAAAAUAUUUUGACUAAUAACGACAGAUGUUAGCAAUUUUUGCAUAGAUCUGGUAUGUUUGAGCCAAACAUUUCUUGUAGCCAGCCCCUGCUGGCCAGUAUUAGUAUUACAGCCAAACUGGCAGUUGGCUUCGAAACAAAGUUUGGGAGGAACAGCCGUGGUUUAUAUACAGCGGUCGUUCCAACUGCCAUCACUGAUCCUUAUUUAAAUGUCUAAAAAUUGUAUAAUAAGCUGCUCCCAUUUUGUCCCAAUUUAAAUCUCAACAUUACUAAUAUAACAUGAACAAAGUGUUUUGUAAUAAGAUAUAUCACAUUAACAUUUUGACAUAAUUAAUGCUUAUAAAGCCAAGGGGUCACUAAAGGUCAUCAACCAAAAAAAAUCAAAAGGUUAGCUUUAAAAGUUCAGCAAGAAGUCUAAAAUAUUACUGUGAUCCAAUUUAUUUGACCCCAGUAAAAAACAUUUUUUCUCUAACUUCAUGCAUUACGUGACUUUUCUUGUAACAGUACAGUCCACGGUGGAUAGCUCUAUCUGACAGAAGUUGGCAGCAAAUCCCUCUGUCAGGACCCUCAUCUGGGUGGUCAGCACUUAAAGACGUGCGGUGUCAUCUAGUGGUGCAAAACCAAAAGAAAAAAACUGCACAAAUUGCACAAAAGUCAAAGAAGA